CCCUCCAUCCCUCCCUCCCUCUCUUCUUUCUUCUUUUCUUUUUUUCCAUUUUAUUGGAUAGGGCAGAGAGAAAUUGAGAGGAGAGGGGGAGACAGAGAGGAAGAGAGAAUGAUAGACACCUGCAGACCUGCCUUUUUUUUUUUUUUUUUUUUUUUUUGUGAAGCUCCCUCCUUACAGCGAGGGAGCUGGGGGCUUGAACCUUGAUUUCCUUCUUUCUCUAUCACUUUCUCUCUACCUUUCUUUAUCCAAAUAAAUAACAUAUAUAUAUGUAUAUAUAUAUAUGAAUUUAAGGGGGCCAGGUGGUGUUGCACCUGGUUGAGGGCACAUGUUAUAAUGCACAAAGACCCGGAUUCAAGCUCCUGGUCCCCACCUGCAGGGGAGAAGCUUCACAAGUGGUGAAGCAGUGUUGCAGCUGUCUCUUUGUCUACCCUCUCUAUCAACCCCCUUCCUCUCAAUUUCUGGCUGGUCUCUAUCAAAUAAAUAAAAAUUAAAAAAUAAUUAAAAAAUAAAAAAGAAUUUAAGGAAAUAACUUUAUUGGAUCCUCAAAUUCUGUCGUAUUAAAAACAAACAAACAAAAGAACAAACUUCAAGUUUUGGUAGAGUGUUUUGAAGGAAAAGCUUACUUCUGACUCCAUUCAUGCCUGCUCUAUGAAGUCAUUGGUAAUGUAACUUCUGAAUUGUGCUGAAUAGAUUAUGACCAGGCUGGGUUUAAAAGGUAAUGCAGCCACCCACCCCCACCCCAAAUGACUAACUAGAAUGAGCAAAGCUUCGGAUGAAUUGUCUCGUGUUACCCACUUGCAUAUGACUGUACCAGGCGCUUGGCUGGGCAUAAUUACUAUGUAUCUGCUCUUCUCGACAGUAACUGGUCAACAUGUUCAACAGCUUUCAGAGGCCCCGCUUGCAAUGGGAAAGUGGCACUUUGUAAUCAGCAAAGAAAGGAUCUUCAUCUUCCUGCUCUUGGCCCAAGUGGGCACCUUGGAUAUGAAGCUGGUACUUCCCAGACAGCAAGGCGAGCUCAGAGAAGGAUCACCGUCGACUCCUGAAUGUGCUGUCAAAAACUAGCUGCCGGAAGGUCUGGUGGAUGACAAACCAUCAGUCUUGUGUUGGCCAAGGAAAUAACCCCAUUUCUGCAGCUGUCUACCACAUCUUGACUAAAUAUAGGGUCGAGGUGACAAGUGCUUCAAAGGUUUCUUAUUCGCUAAUUUAGGAAGAAGUGGAGUUCUUUGCACAAGCAAAGAAACAUAGAGGAAGAGAAAAGGAGAGAUACCCACAGUGCUGUUCCACCACUCAUGAAGCUUACUCCUUGCAGGAAACUAGACUUGGUGGUUUGAAAAUAUGUCUGCAAAUACUUUAACACUUCUGUCAAGAGAAGACUUGGAUUUAGGUGCUGACUGCCCUGGCAUCACCAGAUCUGUGAAAAAUCUAAUUCAUGAGCAGGCUCUAAGUUCUGGAUCUUCCCUGGGAGACUGAAGAUGUUAGUCAAGCUGAAACUGUGUGGCUUGCAAUUGCUUUGGGGGAGGAGUUGUUGAAAUGUAUCCUGUAUUUUAGAAAGAGAUAAUAUUGGUCCCUUCAUGUUUUAUCUUCCAAAUAUUCUUCUGGUAUAAGCAUUUUGCUUAUCAUGCUAUUGUUCAUUUUUCUUGCUUUCUUUGAGAUGUUUUUCUCCCAAGAGAAAUGUGAUUCUAGGUUAUUAGGUCAUUUCCUUUUUUUUUUUUUUUUUGUAGAUUUAUUUAUUCUCAUAUGGAGGGGAGAGAGAGAGAAGAGAGGAGAGAGAGAGAGAGAGAGAGAGAGAGAGAGAGAGAGAGAGACUUGAACAUUGCUCUGCUUUGGCAUACCCUUGUGUUAGGAAUUGAACCUCAGAGCUUCAGGCAUGCAAGUCUGUACUAUGUCCCUGGCCCUCAAAGUCAUUCCUAACUCCUCAUUUACUUGGUUUUAAAACUGCUGGGUUAUUAAUGCCUUUAUUCUAAAUAGAUGUGUGUUAGUCCCCUGUCUUUCCUAGAACUCUGCACACAGAGCUGUUCUUUCAUUUUGUUUCCUCCACACAAGUGUCAUCACUAAUGUAAAUACCAGGCCUUUAGCUCAGAGGAAAUGAAGGGAAGUAAGGAUUCUAGUCACAUACAAGCUCAGGUCAGGGGAGAUCACCUAGGUAUCCUGGGUGCUGGGAAUCCGGUGUUUAGUGAGUAGCAUAAUUACAUCACUACAGGAUGUGUAUAGCACCAAAGGAAUUCUAACACUAGCUCACACAUAUCAGAAAGGCAGAGAGGGCAUGUGCUUCUGGAUGGCUGCUCAGAUGUGAGGUAGUUGGAAUAUUCUUUUGAAGGACAAUUUAGGGCUUUCUAGGUGGAGCAGAGGGUAU